rnacentral:rRNA from 1 species
UACGAAGGGUGCUAGCGUUGUUCGGAAUUACUGGGCGUAAAGCGCGCGUAGGCGGCCUGGUAAGUCGGGUGUGAAAGCCCAAAGCUUAACUUUGGAAUUGCCUUCGAUACUGCGGUGCUGGAGCAUGGGAGAGGCAGGUGGAAUUUCCGGUGUAGCGGUGAAAUGCGUAGAUAUUGGAAGGAACAUCAGUGGCGAAAGCGACUUCCUGGACCAAUACUGACGCUCAUGUGCGAAAGCGUGGGGAGCAAACAGG